rnacentral:rRNA from 1 species
AUUGAACGCUGGCGGCAUGCUUUACACAUGCAGGUCGAACGGCAGCAUGGGUGCUUGCACCUGAUGGCGAGUGGCGAACGGGUGAGUAAUGUAUCGGAACAUAUACGCAAGUGGGGGAUAACGUAGCGAAAGUUACGCUAAUACCGCAUAUUCCAUGAGGGGGAAAGGCGGGGAGCCGCAAGGACCUUUCGCUUACGGAGUGGCCGAGAUCAGAUUAGCUAGUUGGUGGGGUAAAGGCCUACGAAGGCGACGAUCUGUAGCGGGUGUGAGAAGAUGAUCCGCCACACUGGGACUGAGACACGGCCCAGACUCCUACGGGAGGCAGCAGUGGGGAAUUGUGGACAAUGGGGGCAACCCUGAUCCAGCCAUGCCGCGUGAGUGAAGAAGGCCUUCGGGUUGUAAAGCUCUUUAAGCUGGAAAAAAAUCGCAUCACCGAAUACGUGGUGUGGAUGAUGGUACCAGCAGAAGAAGCACCGGCUAACUACGUGCCAGCAGCCGCAGUAACAC